AAUCAAGAUGCUGAGAGAUAUGCUAAGACUAAAAAAUGGAGGAGAAAGGUCUGAAUUAGCUGGCCGAAGAAUUAGGGGUAGUAUGGGUGCUAAGAUUAGUAUCAUGAAGAUUGUGUCCUAGAAUGUUAGAGGGUUGGAAAGGAAAGCGAUGAUGAGUAGGGUCAGAAAUGUAAUUAAGGAAAGAAGAGUGGAUGUUGUGCUUAUUCAAGAAACUAAAAAAAGCAAUAUAGAUGAGCACUUUGUUUGGUCUAUUUGGCCAUGAGAAAGGAUGGAGUUUAUAGCUGUAAAUGUUGAUAGGAGUGCUAGGGGUCUGUUGAGCAUCUGGAAUCCUGACAUUUUUACAAUGUCAGAGUGCUGUGGAAAUAGGAAUUUUUUGGCUCUUUUAGGCACUGCUGUUCGAUCCUUUGGUUGUAUGUUACUUAAUAUCUAUGCCCUGAAUGAUGUGGUGAAGAGAGCAAGGUUAUGGGAGAUCACCCUUAGGAUUAGAAUGCAUUUUGAAAGCCUUUGGUGUAUGGGAGGGGAUUAUAAUGAAGUUAGAUGUAUAGCAGAGAGAAAGGGGUGUUCCAGGAGAGAUAAAAGGAUGUAAGACUUUAAUAACUUUGUUGAACAAUUAGAAAUUGUGGAUUUACCAAUGUUAGGUAGAAACUUUACAUGGUGCAAUUCAUUAGAUGGGGAAACGUGGAGUUAAAUAGACAGGUUUUUGUUAGAUCUUGUUUGGCUGGAAAAAUUUAGGUUCAAGUUAUAGGGCUUGCCUAGAAAUGUGUCGGAUCAUUUCCAUUUGUUGUUAAUGGAGAGAAAUUGGGGCCCUAAACCAUUUAGAUUUAUUAAUGCCUGGACACUGCAUCCAAAUUUUAGAUCAGUUGCACAAAAGGCUUGGUCUGGAUCAUAGGUGCAAGGGUGGGCUAGGUACAGACUUAAGAUGAAACUGUGUGGUCUUAAAGCUAGGUUGAAAAGAUGGAAUAUUAAAGAGUUUGGAAUUGUGGAGGAUUAGCUAAAAAAAGUAGAGGACAAGCUACAUGUAUUGGAUUUGUUGGCAGAAUCAAGAGUAAUGGAAACUCAUGAAAUAGCAUCCAGGAGGGAGGAAAGAAGUUUGGUAUGGAAGUUGUGGAGAAAAAUGGAGUGGAUUUGGUUCUAGAAGUCCAGAUUAAACUGGUCUCAAUGUGGAGACAAAAAUACUAGGUAUUUUCAUAUUAUGGCCAACAAAACACAAAGACGGAAUUUAGUUAGUGUUGAGGAUCAUGGGUUGGUAAGACAAGAAGUGUUAAGGCAUUUUUCAAAGGUAUUCUAUGAGAAGGGGAAAUCUAGACCAAAAUUGUUAGGAAAUUUUGUUUCAGUCAGUAGAUCAAAAGAGGUGGAGAUAUUGGAAGUUGAGUUUACAAUGGAUGAGAUAUGGGAGGCUAUGAAAGAUUGUGAUGGAAAUAAAGCGCCAGGCCCAGACGGAUUCAAUAUGACUUGUAUUCAGAAAUGUUGGAAGUUUAUGAAUAAUGAUGUGUUUCAGUUUAAUUCUCAUACCGAAGAAGAUGUGUCCUGAAGGGUUGCCGGAUUACAGGCUUAUAUGUUUGGUUGGAGUGGUAUAUAAAAUUUUGACCAAGGUUCUAUAAAAAAGAUUGCAAAAAGUUCUACAUGAUGUAAUUAGCGAAGUGCAAACAGCCUUUUUGGGAGGUAGGAAUAUAUUUGAUGAAGUAAUGAUUGCUAAUGAGGUGGUGGAUUGGUAGAAGAAGUAAAAAAGGAAGGGAAUCAUUCUCAAACUAGACUUCGAAAAGGCAUAUGACUCAAUUAAUUGGGAACAUUGUUCUCUAUGAUGCAUAAUCUGGGGUUAGGAGAGAAAUGGGUGGGAUGGAUAAAAACAUGUGUCACCACAGCAAGAGUGUCUAUUUUAGUUAAGGGGUCGCCAACGAAGGAAUUUAGUCCACAAAAGGGAGUAAGGCAAGGAGAUCUGUUAUCUCAUUUUCUGUUUAACAUUGCAGCUAAGGGACUAAAUGUGUUAAUGAAAAGAGAAAAAGAGUUGGGCCUAUUAAAGGGAGCAUCUGUUGGGACAUCAGGUUUGAGAUUAUCACACUUUCAGUUUGCCGAUGAUACGAUACUUUUUUGAGAAGCAGAGUGGGCUGGAAUGGUGAAUGUGAAAAGAAUUCUGAGAUGUUUUAAGGUAAUGUCAGGGUUAAAGAUAAAUUAUCAUAAAAGUGUGGUGUGUGGAGUAGGGAUUAGUGAGGAAGAGUCACAAACUUUUGGUUAAGAGUUGUUUUUCUUAUGUCAGAAAUUACCUCUAAAGUACCUGGGCUUACCACUUGGUGUAAAUCCAAGAAGGAAGAAGACUUGGCAGCUUGUUGUGGAUAAGGUUAGAUCCAAGUUAGCACUUUGGAAAAUGAAGCUGUUGUCAUUUGUUGGUAGGCUAACUUUGAUCAAGUCUGUCCUUGAUAGCUUACUUGGGUACUACAUCUCUAUUUUACUUGCCUAAAGGAGUAGCAAGGGAAAUUGACAAGCUUAAGGCUUCUUGUGGGGUAGUUCAGAUUUAAAAAGAAAGAUUCACUUGGUGAACUAGAAUGAAGUAACAAGGAAAAAAGAGCAAGGGGGGUUAUGAAUAAGAAGGAUCAGUGAUAUGAAUGAGUUCAUGCUAGUUAAGUGGUGGUGGAGAUAUGGGGUGGAAGAUAAAUCAUUAUGGAAGAAAAUUAUUACUAGUAAGUAUGAGGCCGAAGGGGGGAGGUGGUUACCAAUGAAGGAAGGGAUUGGUAAUGAAUACAUUAUGUGGAGUGAUAUUUUAAAUCUGACAAGAUCUAAUACUGGCUUGUUUGAGUUUUUUGUAUCGAAGUUUCAAAUUGAGGUUGGAAAUGGAAUCAGGGUUGCAUUCUGACAUGACAAAUGGCUAUUAAAUGUACAGCUAAAAAAAGGAGUUUCCUAGGUUGUUUAUGCUCUCAGUGGAAAAUGAAGGCAUAUUGAGUACUUUCAUACAAAGGAGGGACAGUUCUGGGGAUUGGAAGCUCUUGUUCAAAAGAUCACUACUUGCUUGAGAGGAAGAGGAGGUCAUAAGGUUGCAAGAAUUAACAAGAGAUGCUUCUAGCCUUAAUUUGGAGCAGAAGGAUUUAGUAAGAUGGGCUGUAUCUUCCUCAGGUUUGUUCAUAUUGGCAUCUCUAAAAGACUAGUUUGAGGCCAACAAAGGUCUUUCAUUACAAGUGCCUAGGAUGCUUUGGAAUAAUGUGGCAUCUCCAAAAGCACAGUUUUUGAGCUGGUUGGUGUGGAGAGGGAGGGUCAAAACCACUGAUAUGUUGGUAAAGUUUGGGGUGCUUAGUUCAACAAUGGUAAAUGAAUGUCCCUUUUGCAAGAAUCAGUGGAUCAUUUAUUUUUGCUAUGCCUCGAUGUGUGGAAGGUCUGGUCAAAGUUGUUGCUUUGGUGGGGAAUAAGCUGGGUUACCCUCGUUACUAUGGAGAGUUUGCUGCUAUGGUGGUUAGGAACAAAAUUCAAAAAGCUGGUUUUGAAGAUAUGGAGACUUGUUCCAAUUGUAAUUUUGUUGUCAAUCUGGAGGCUGAGAAAUGAGUGUGUUUUCAAAGGUAGACAUCACAAGAUGGAAGAGUUGGGUGAGACAGUAAAGACGAGGAUUAGGUUGUGGGUUAAGUACAAUUUGUCUAAUAUACACUAUUCAGUGCAUGAUAUUGUGGAAAAUUUGAAUAAGAUUAGGCUAUGUUUAUGAGGUGGUAGGAAGGUUGCAUUUUAUGGCUACUGCUAUAUCCAGUGUAGGCUCUGUUUAGGUAAUUGAGGGAGGUAUCAAUUGGUGUUUUGGUUGGAGAUUGGAAGUCUAGUUUGGGGCUUGGAAGUCUAGGUGUAUAACCAAGUUGUUAUUGCUGCUAGAUGCUGCUAAUGUUUACAGAUAUGUUACUGCUGUCAGUUGUUGAAAGUUGUUGUUGCCAGUUGCCACUGCUAUUACAGAGCUACUGCCAGUUGCUGCUGCUACUACAGAGCUGUGUUGGGCUUUGAGUGUUUAUUUGUAGCUUUGGGGAUUAUGUUACCUUGGUGAUAUCCUAUUAUUUCUACUGUUUUCUUUCUUUUUAUUGGCUAGUUGAUUGAACCCUCUCCAAUCUUGGGUUAAAUGCUGGUAUAUGAUUGAGCUAACUCUUCGGUGCCAACCUAGCUAGGAUGUUGACCUUAGUUAUGAUACUUGAUGCACUUCCCUACUUUAUUGAUCCCAGAACUACACAACAACACGAAGGAUUCCAAAUCCAUGCCAAUCUCUAUCUAAGAAAGAAACAAUGGAAUCAGGGGCUGUUGAAGGAGUUGCCUUUGGAGAGUUAGGCUUUGUGCUUCCUUAGCUAAGCAAUCUGGAGAAGGGCUCGCUCUGCGCCAAAUCCCUUGAAGAUGACACUGCCAAUCUUGAUCAAGCAAAAAGGACAGGUUGUUGUACAGAAAGUGAAGGAAUCGGAGAUAACCGAGCAGGACUCGCUUCUACUGUUAAAGAAAUAAAAAGAUGAACAAGAAUUGGAUUGAUUUGCCAAAUCGGAUGUCAGUUGAUUACGUGAAUGGAAUUGAUAACUUCUUGAGAUUUGCAUACAAUAAUGGAGAUGAAUGUUCAUCGAUUAGUUGUCCGUGUCGAUUUUGUAGUAAUUGAUAUAAUUUUUCAUAAGAGGAUGUAAGGGAGCAUCUUAUUUCCAAUGGAUUCGUAAAAAAGUACAAAAAUUGGAUUCAUCAUGGGCGAGGCAGCGGCCCAUCCCAAUCAUUAGCAGCCCCUUCAUUUAUUGAUGAGAUCACGCAGCGUGUGACAUAAGACGUUGAGUCUAGGGUUCACUACGACGAUCAAAAACCUAACGGCACGUGUUUUGUUCUUAGAGUCACAGGGUGUGGCUGGGAGUAUGAGCUUGAGAGAGGUGCAAUACUUACAAAUUGAUGAAUUUUACGUUUUAUCAAUUUGUAUAUAUACAUAUGGAAAUUAUUAACACAUUAUACUAACAUAUUGUAGGUGUCAGAUGCAUCUAGUGGGCAACAAGCUUCAAAAGAAAAUGAAUAGGAGGAAAGACGUUAAUUUUUUUUUAAGUGGCUUUCAGAAUGAGGGAAUACUGGAUACAAUGCAUGUUUUACUCGUCUAUCUCUGGAGCUCUCUGCCUGAGCAAAGACCCUUGGUUACUGUUCUCCUUUUACACUUAGAUCUUCUGGUGCAACGUGGUGAUGUGGAACUUGAAAAGAAAAUUGAUGAGAAGAUUAACCAGUUCAUCAAUAGAGUGGAGAAACACCUGAGCAAGAAAAUUGAUGAGAAGAUUGGCCAGUUCUGGAUUGUUUUUUUUUUUUAUUAAAGAACUUUUCCCAAGUUUUUAGUUGUAAUAACUUUCACAUAUGGCUCAAAUUUUGAGACUCAAAUGGAAUGUUCAAUUAAACUAUAAUGCUAUACUGUUUGAAUUCUUGUCAUUGCUAUUCCUAGAGUGCUUAACGCUAAACUUUUAUU